GGACGCGUGCUGCCUCCGUGAGCUGUGCACAGUGGACUGCAGCCUCCGCCGCCACCAACACUCAGGUGGCCCCUCCCGGGGAUGGAGAGUCAAACAAGUACCAGGGAGGCGUCCGAACCGAACUGCUCUCCUCGGAAAGUACAAGUCAUCGCAUUUGAUCAUCGCUGAUGCACAGUGAGGCUGGGAUGGCCCUUUCAGAAUUCAGUUAUUACCAGGAAACUGUUUUGUCUCUUGAAUAAAUUUUACCAGGGCAGAGGCUUAAGAACGACUCAGCUCACGAGGGGAGAUGGGGCGGCCUCUGCCUCUCUGUGGUCAAGGUCACAGACGUCCUGAGAUCGGGGCCAGCGGCCGGGGGACGGCACAGCCUGCCCUGUCGCCCCAGCCUCCACGGCAAUGCUGAGCCCAUGGUCCUCCAGGGGACCUGCCGGCUCCGUCCCCACGGCGUCCUGUGUCGCCCGUGAGCACCAUGUCCUUUUGGGAAAAAAGAAAGUCAUUCUUCACUUCCAGUGCCCAGUACCAGAACCCACUUGGAAUUUGUUCACAAGCCCGAGAACAGGACAUUCCACAACCUGCGCUCGGCAGGGCUGCGUCUUUCUGGAGGAGCUCUGUCUGAAUGUACUGAGAUAAAGAUGAUGAAGUUGGGAACAAAGGCUGACCCUUGACCUCCCAGAGAGAAGACUGGAGAGAAUGGACGAAGAUGGCAGUUCUGCAGAACCAAGGACCUCAGGUUCCCGGGCGGGACUGACCAGACCGUGAAACGUGAC